GACGAACGCUGGCGGCGUGCCUAAUACAUGCAAGUCGAACGCAGUUUCGCACGGGUGAGUAACGCGUAUGUAACUGCCUCAUAGCAGGGGAUUACUUUUGGAAACGGUAGCUAAUACCCCCUACUUUGAGAUGGAUCUGCGUUGUAUUAGGUAGUUGGUGGGGUAAAGGGUCACCACGGCGACGAUACAUAGCCGACCUGAGAGGGAUGUCGGUCACACUGGGACUGAGACACGGCCCCAGAUCCUACGGGAGGGAGCAGUAGGGAAUCUUCGGCAAUGGGCGGAAAGCUGAACGAACAACGGCGGGGGAGUGAAGAAGGUUUUCGGAGCGUAAAGCUAUGUUGAUCGAGAAGCGGUAACUGACCAGGAAGGGACGGCUAACUACGUGCCAGCAGCCGCGGUAAUUC
rnacentral:rRNA from 1 species